rnacentral:rRNA from 1 species
UUAACACAUGCAAGUCGAGGGGCAGCAUGGUCUUAGCUUGCUAAGGCUGAUGGCGACCCGGCGCACGGGUGAGUAACACGUAUCCAACCUGCCGUCUACUCUUGGCCAGCCUUCUGAAAGGAAGAUUAAUCCAGGAUGGGAUCAUGAGUUCACAUGUCCGCAUGAUUAAAGGUAUUUUCCGGUAGACGAUGGGGAUGCGUUCCAUUAGAUAGUAGGCGGGGUAACGGCCCACCUAGUCAACGAUGGAUAGGGGUUCUGAGAGGAAGGUCCCCCACAUUGGAACUGAGACACGGUCCAAACUCCUACGGGAGGCAGCAGUGAGGAAUAUUGGUCAAUGGGCGAUGGCCUGAACCAGCCAAGUAGCGUGAAGGAUGACUGCCCUAUGGGUUGUAAACUUCUUUUAUAAAGGAAUAAAGUCGGGUAUGCAUACCCGUUUGCAUGUACUUUAUGAAUAAGGAUCGGCUAACUCCGUGCCAGCAGCCGCGGUAAUACGGAGGAUCCGAGCGUCAUCCGGAUUUAUUGGGUUUAAAGGGAGCGUAGAUGGAUGUUUAAGUCAGUUGUGAAAGUUUGCGGCUCAACCGUAAAAUUGCAGUUGAUACUGGAUGUCUUGAGUGCAGUUGAGGCAGGCGGAAUUCGUGGUGUAGCGGUG